rnacentral:lncRNA from 1 species
UCAGCUCAACGAUGCUGCUCGGUUGUCCAAGGUUUGGUUGACCUUGAGGCUGCAGUUUGUCUUUGCACUGCUCUUAGGGCUAACGUUCUCGGAAUCAACCUUAACGUUCCUAUAUCUCUCAGCGUUCUUCUCAACAAGUGUAACAAGAAGGUUCCAUCUGGUUUCGAAUGCACUUGAAUCAGCUAUGCCCACGACGCCGCACACAGUUUCCUCUUCAACAUAUUUACAGUUUGAAUAAAUGCAUGCAAGCUAGAAUUUAAAUAUUGAAUCUUGCAUUUUGUUGUAAGUGAUAUAAUAAGUGUGAGAGUUUUAUUGUUUUUUUUUUUUGUACACGUUUCCCAUCUUUAGUGCUUGUAUGUUUUUGUAGACUAUUUCUAUUCAACCCGUUUAAUGAAAAGUUUUGGCGACCAACGUACUUCUCAUUUUCAAAUACUUAGGCAUUGGAAAUGUUCAGAUUGACAUAAUUCAUGUUAUAGAGUGUUUAUACUAUCUGUGGAGUUAAUUUCUACUGGAAAACUCUUGAUCACUCGUUAAUAAAAAAAGAUCCUAAAAGGGUAAUUAUUAAUCAUCCUAAAAUCGUAUAUAAUUAAAAUUCAAUGAUUGGAAUGUUCUCCGAAAUUGUGGUAUAGUAGAACAUCAUAGUUAUGUUAUGCUGAGAAUGAACAGUUCGGUUAUUGAUAAAUUCGGAUCAUAAAUGCAGUUAUUUUUACUAGUGUUUGAAAUAUGUGUGGUCAUGAGUCAUGAGGCCUUAACAGAAAGUUUGUACCAAAAUCAAUUGAGGUUAUGGCUGAGAAGCCUUAUUUCUUGGCCUAAAUAUUCGAUGCCUUGUAUAACACGUAUGAUUGCAUUUUGGAAGAAUAUGCUUUUUUCUCAAAGAAAAAAAUUCAACAACAUUCAUUACACUGAAUCUAAAUCUAUGUGGUGACACAAUGAAGGCGUACAAACACAAAUUACUAUAGGCUAUAUGUAAUAUAGUCAAUCUUCUUCUUUUUUUUUUUUUUUGGUCGAAAAUGUUAAGAGUCAAUCUUCUUCUUGUUUUAAUUACUAGGUUUGAACAUUCUUACGAACGGUAAGUUCAUGUUCGCGGUGUAAAAAUGUUCGGGUUGUAUGUGAGUUGACGUAUGUGGGGACACUGGGGAAUUUGGGGCUAUUUGCAAAUAUAGUCGCAAAUAAUGAGUCAAAGAUGGUUAACACUACUAUAUAUAUAAUCUGUCGGUUUUAAUAGUUGAAAAUGAAAAUCGAAUGAAAAAAAUUAUAUAUUCAAAAUUUUGCUUAAUAAAAUGUCUGAUAUUACUUAGGAAUAAAUUGAUUAACAUGUCAGAAAAUAUGACCUAAGAAUUUCUUUCUUAUCUCAUUUUAAAAUUUUAAUUAAUUAUGGCAUCUAUAAUAUCUAAUUUUAAAAUACAAUUUGCAGAACAACAUUUCAGUAUAUGCAAUAUUAUUCUUAAAUUUUGUAAUUAAUCUAUAGUAAGUAAAUUUAUAUUUCUUAGAUCUAAACAUAUUUUAAUAAAUAUGUAAAUGUGGAUAUUAUUAGUAUAUAUAUAUAUAUAUAUGAAGCAGACAUAACUGAAUAUGCUGUUUAAAACUAUUGUUAACACCUUGGUGGAAAGAACUAUUUGAAAUAUCUAGAAUCAAAGUGAAAUUGAAGUUUACCCACUCGUUUGAGGUACUAAAAACUAAAAAAAAAGUAUUAAAUAGCUGCCCAAUCAAAAUUUCAUCCCGUCUUUAAUAAUUAUAUUCCGUAUAUAUAUAUAUAUAUAUAUAUUAAUUGUCCACUUCACUUUGUUAAAUUUUCUUGCUCUUCGUUUAGUUUGGAGAAGUUCGAAAAUAAUAUUUCUUUAAUAUCGGUUUUAACUAUUUUGUGGUUGUAGCAUCGUUUAAAAAUCUGAUAUUUCGUUGAGGACAAAUGUUUUUAUUGACUUUAUGAAAGAUUAAACCAGCUUUGUUGAAGAAAGAUCAAUGAUUUGCGUUACCUAGAUUGUCUAACAAUGAGUACGUUCACAUUGCAUGAUCGUUUUCAUGUUUUCAUUUUGUCAAUAUAUAAUACCGAUUCGUUUGUUUGUUAUAUGCGGAAUCAUUCUAACUUUAUUUACAUUUUCUUAGUCAGGAUCAUGACGACCGUCUCAAACCAUUGACAGUUCAUAUUCAAAUUUUUAUUAAGAAGAUUUGAUAUGGUAAUAUAGUUUUUUCUUAAAAAAAAUAUGAACUCCAAUGUAUAUUAACUAUACGAAAAAAAAGAAAAAAUGUAUUGGAAUACUUUAGAACAAUAUAUAGCGCCCCCACCCCCUAUUUUGAGAAUUAUACACACACUAUAUAUAUAUACAUAUAUAUAUAUAUGUGUAUUUACGUUGAUAAGUAGUAAAAUACUAUGAAUCAUAUGGAUUAAGUUGUGUUAUUGCAGUUUUUUUUUUUUUUUGCUAAAGUGUUAUUUCAGUGUUAAAGAUGUGUUUUGGAUAUGUUCUGAAUUCGAAUGAAACUUAAACGAAAAACAAAGGGAAAACUCGAAUUGGAAAAAAUAUUCCUUUUCUAUAAAUUUUUUAAUAUUAAGUUAGUGAAUUCCAAUUCGAUAAAAUAUUCUUUAAUAUUAAUAUACAUUCAUAAUGGGUAUAAAUUUUUAAUAUUAAAUUAGAUAAAGCUCUCGGGACGAAAUUGGGUAUACAUUCAAGUUUUUCACAUUAUCUUAGAACUUGGUUAGUCCUAAUCUUAUAGCGGCAAUGCAUGAGUUCGUUUUCUCUGGCGAGUUGCAAUUAGUCAUGUAUAUGAGAUCCAAUUUGUUUUUUUUUUCGGUGAAAAGAUCCGAUGUAAUUAUUCGGUAUUGGUAAUUUAACUAGGGUAGCACCAAGUGCAACAUAAGAAGAGUAAAGAAUUAAGGAAAGUGGCGAUUUUUAGGGCGAUUUAGGGUUUGAGUCUUCACUCUCACGUUAGGGUUUCCGGUGGCCGCCGCAGGGGCCAUGGCGUCGGAGAUGGGGGAUUCUGGUAGGGUGCUCGGUGCGGUUGUGAUGGAUGAGUCAGUGGUUCAGGCUGUGGAAGGUGUGGAAGGAAAUUUGCAGGAGUCGGGGGCUCUUGAGAAGGUUGUCGAGAAUGAUCGUUGUGGGGAUUCUCAGGGUUCGCGUGAUGAAGCAAAUAUCGAGGAGGGGGAAAUUCUAUCCAGUGCAAGCAGAUUGGAAGUAGCGAAGGGAAACGAUGAUCAGCAUCAAAAAAGUAAUACGAUGGAGAAACUGAGCUCCGUGGGGAAAUCUGCAUCAUGGGCAUCGGUGGUCCAAAAGGAUACAGAGAUGAUCCACUAUGAGCUGAAGGUGGAGGAGAUAGAUGGGAUGCCAACAGCAGUGAUCCCGAACAGUGUCUUUAAAGACUCUCCACCUUUGUGGGAGGAUUUUGUUAUCGGGAAAUUCCUUUCGAAGGCGCCAUUCGUAGGGAAGAUACACGCUCUUGUAAACCGUAUUUGGACUUUAGGAGACAAAACUCUUAAAAUUGACGUAAUUGUGGUUGAUGAUACCACAAUGCGAUUUCGUAUUAAAGAUGCGAAUGUAAGAGCAAGAAUUCUGAGGAGGGGGAUGUGGAAUUUGUGUGACGUUCCGAUGAUAGUCAACAAGUAGAGCCCCAUAGCAGAGAAGGAACAAACAGAAUUGACUUCGAUUCCUUUGUGGGUCAUUGUUAAGCAUGUACCCCCGCAUCUGUACUCCUGGAAGGGGUUAAGUGCUUUAACAAGCCCACUUGGGAAACCAAAGAAGUUGCAUCCGGAUACAGAGGCUUGUCGUAAUCUGGAUGAAGCUAAGAUUUUUGUAGAGGUGGAUUUAACGAAGAAGCUACCAAAGAGAUUUUGCUUUAAAUCAGACUCGGGACCAGAUUCUGAGGUGGAAUUCAUCUUUCCGUGGCUCCCACCUAGAUGUGGAGGAUGCUCUAAGUAGGGUCAUUUGGAAAAGGAUUGCAAUCUCAAUGUUAAGCUCACCACGGAGGUAAACAGAGAAAAGUCGGAUUCACCUGUGGUGGCUCAAAAAAGUGUAGCUCCUUCCAGCCCUGUCUCUACAAAUAGGGUAAAGGCGAAGGAAAACGUUGACGAAAUCAUACAAAUGACUCAACAAAAAACCCAACAAUCCGAUGAGCAAGGUUGGUCCACUCCAAUAAAAACCAUGAGAAGCCCUGCAAAAACUCCAGAGUUGAAGUUUGGCAAAGUGUCCAUUCUUUCCAAUUCGAGAUUUGCAAUUUUAAGUGGACAGAUUGAUGAUGUGGGAGAACUCGAUGAACUGACAGGUGAUGAGACUAAGGUGGAGGAAUCUCUUAUUGCGGAACACACAGGGGAAGAGGAAACAUGUAUGGGAAAUGAGGAUGCUGUGGUCAGUAAAGCAGAGGUAAAGCAGGGGAACAAGGGUGAUUUGAACAAACCUACAGGGAGAGUCUUACGUCCGUCUCUUCCACGCGGAUCUAAGAAUACCCAUAGAUUCUUAUCCCAAUCAACUGGUACGAAUACUAAGGAGUCAAAUCCUGGUACUCGUGAUACACAUAACUCUUCCAAACACCAUUAAUGUCGGGGUUCUUCUGGAACAUUCGUGGUCUGAAUAAAAAAAGUAAACAUAGGGUGGUUCGUGAGUGGGUGCAGAGAGGUGACUUUGACUUUGGAUGCCUGAUAGAAACAAAAAUCAAAGAAGGAAGGGCAGAAAGAAUUUUUGAAAAAAUGUUUCAGGGGUGGUCUUUUAUGUCAAACUAUGAAGAGCACAGAUUAGGGAGACUUUGGAUUAUGUGGAGACGGAACGUGAGAAUUACACCGUGGUUCAAAUCAGCUCAGCUGAUAACAGUCUCGAUUCUGCUGGAAGGUAGAUCCGAGGAGUUCUUUGUAUCUUUCGUAUAUGCGUCUAACUUUGCGGCUGAUCGAAGAAAGCUUUGGGAAGACAUUAGACAUCAUUGUGACACACCUCUAUUCCGAGGGAAAACCUGGCUUCUGUGUGGUGAUUUCAAUGAAAUUCUGGAGGGAUCGGAGCAUUCGCUGUAUUCUCUCUCACCUGUUAUUCCCCCUGGAAUGAGAGACUUUCAAGAACUCGUUACACAUUGUGAAUUUACUGAUCUGACUUACCAAGGACAGAAAUUCACAUGGUGCAACAAGAGGAAAUAUGGGGUGAUUUGCAAGAAAUUAGAUCGUGUAUUGGUAAAUAAAGAGUGGAUGAACACCUAUGAUAGAUCCUACAGUGUCUUUGAGCCAGGGGGGUGCUCAGAUCACCUGCGCUGUAGAUUCUACAUUAAGGAAAAGGAGGGAAAGCCACGAAAACCAUUCAAAUUCGUCGCUGCAACUACUCUGCACCCCGAGUUUCUUGAAAGAGAUUGAAGAGGGAUGGAAGGUGGCUCCACCAUUAUUUGUCUCCACUUCUGCGAUGUUCAGACUUACUAAGAAACUCAAACAGAUGAAACCUCGGCUGCGUCGAAUGGGGAAAAACCUCGUAUCCGAUAUCACAAAAAGAACUAAAGAUGCUUUUGCUCGGCUUUGCGAAUUACAGGGCAUCACAAUGCUUCAUCCGUCUGCUGGAGCUGUGGAGGACGAAGCAAAUGCCUUUGCACACUGGAUGAAACUAGCGGAUAUUGAGGAGCGUUUCUUGAGUCAGAGGGCCAAGCUUCACUGGCUUAAAGUAGGAGAUAAAAACAAUAAAACCUUCCACAACGCCGCAAAGAUCAGGGAAAUGAAAAAUAGCAUCAGGGAGAUCAAAUGUGGAGAUGGUAUGAUUGCUUCUACGCAGGAAUCUAUCAAAGCAGAAGCGGUCAGGCAUUUCAGUGAAUUUUUGGCUGCCAAACCGGUGGAUUUUGAGCCUUGGUCGAUUGAGGAAUUGCAGAGUUUUCUCGAUUUCAGGUGUGAUGAGGAAACCAAGAAGGUUCUGACAAAGGAGGUGACAAGGGAGGAGAUUCAAAAGGUCGUCCUAUCAAUGCCGGCAAAUAAAUCUCCGGGGCCGGAUGGAUUUACGAGUGAGUUUUUCAGGGAAACUUGGCCAAUUAUUGGUGAUGAUGUGAUUGCAGCGAUUCAGUCCUUCUUUCAACUUGGGUUCUUGCCAAAGGGUGUCAACUCAACCAUCUUGGCUCUUAUUCCAAAAAAGAAGGAUGCGGCAGAGAUGAAGGACUACAGGCCCAUUGCUUGUUGCAAUGUGCUCUAUAAAGCAAUCUCCAAGAUUUUGGCGAAUAGACUCAAAGAGAUCCUCCCAAAAUUUAUUCAGCCAAACCAAUCAGCAUUUGUUCGGAAUCGAUUGUUAAUGGAGAAUGUGUUACUUGCAACGGAAGUAGUGAAAGAUUACCAUAAACCCUCUGUUUCUCCAAGAUGUGCGAUGAAGAUCGAUAUCUCAAAGGCGUUUGACUCGGUUCAGUGGUCUUUCUUGCUAAAUACGUUAAAGGCACUGGAUAUCCCUGCUGAAUUCAUUCAUUGGAUUCAAUUAUGCAUCACCACAGCCUCAUUUUUGGUUCAAGUAAAUGGGGAACUAGCUGGCUAUUUUGGAAGUGAAAGAGGUUUGAGGCAAGGGUGCUCACUCUCCCCUUAUCUCUUUGUUAUCUGCAUGGAUGUGCUUUCUAGAAGAAUAGAUAAGGCUGCAGAGGAUCGGUUUAUUGGAUACCAUCCGAACUGUAGGGAGCUGGGUCUUUCACACCUGUACUUUGCGGAUGAUCUUCUAGUGUUUGUUGACGGAAAGAAGAGCUCGAUAGAAAACAUCCUUCAAGUUUUUGAUGAGUUUGCUUGGCGUUCAGGUCUCAAAAUUAGCCUUGAGAAGUCCACUCUGUACACGGCUGGUAUACCAGAAGAUGAGUUGAUUGCUAUUCUUAACCAGUUCUCUUUCGCCCAUGGAGAGCUCCCAGUAAGAUAUCUGGGAUUGCCUCUUCUGACAAGAAGGAUGAGCUCUUCCGACUAUCUCCCACUAGUCGAAAAUAUUCGUAACAGAAUUAAUUCUUGGACCGCCAAAGCAUUGUCCUUUGCAGGCAGACUACAGCUACUCAAAUCAGUGAUCUUCAGCAUUACUAAUUUUUGGAUUUCUGCAUUUAGACUCCCCAAAGCGUGUGUGAAUGAAAUCGACAAACUCUGUUCCGCUUUCUUGUGGUCUGGCCCAUCUCUGAACACAAGGAAAGCAAAGGUGGCUUGGAGGGACAUUUGUGUUCCAGUUGAAGAAGGAGGGUUGGGAAUUAAAUCCCUUGAGGAAGCCAAUAAAGUCAGUGUUCUCAAGCUCAUAUGGAGGAUUUUGUCAGCAAAAAACUCAUUAUGGGUGAACUGGGUUAAGCAGUAUAUUGUUCGGCGUGGGUCUUUUUGGUCAGUUAAGAGCACAUCUACUCUAGGAUCUUGGAUGUGGAAGAAGAUCCUAAAGUAUAGAGCUCUAGCAAAACAGCUCUAUGAGGUCGAAGUGAGAAGUGGUAAAACAACUUCAUUCUGGUAUGAUCCGUGGUGUGGUCUAGGGCGUCUUAUUGACAAAGCUGGCGAAAGAGGUUUUAUUGACAUGGGUAUCUCCCAACAGGCUAUGGUGGAAAAUGUUCUCUACGUAGAAGACGACAUCGGCGUGUAUUAUAUGCUGACAUCGAAAAGGAAUUGCAGCACAUCAAUAGCACUCGCGAACUGAAUGCAGAGGAUAUUGUCCGAUGGCGUACACGCACUGGAAAAUUCAAAGCAAACUUUAACUCAAAAGAUACAUGGCACCAGAUCAGAGUCCCAAAGCAGAAGGUAAACUGGUACAAGGGGGUCUGGUUUUCUCAAGCAACUCCUAAGUACUCGUUUUUGACAUGGUUGGCAUUUCGAAAUCGAUUAGCAACGGGGGAUAGAAUGAGGAGCUGGAAUGUGAAUGUGAACUCGGCAUGUGUGUUCUGCAAAGACCCACUGGAGACUAGGGACCAUCUAUUUUUUGCAUGCGUGUAUACGAAGAAAAUCUGGGAAGUGCUGGCGAAGGGCUUCUCAAAGACAGGUUUGCUGCAGAGUGGACAGCAAUUGCUGAGCUGCUUAUACAGAGGACGCAACACAAGACAACCACCUUUCUGUUUCGAUAUGUUUUUCAAGCUUGUAUCCAUACGAUUUGGCGGGAGCGAAACAAUCGAAGGCAUGGCGAAUCACCUACGGAUGAGAUGCGACUAGUGAAGAGGAUCGACAACUGUGUAAGAAACCAACUCAAUUCGAUUCGGCGAAAUGGAGAUCUGAGAUAAGAGGACGGUCUCCGCGAGUGGUUUUCCACACGAUGAGAGUCAUAGGAAAUUAGAGUAACUAGUUUCAAUGGUUCUUAUUAGCUAAAGAAACAGUUCAAGCAAAAGUCUUUGUAAAAACGUUAUUUUUUUUUUGGGUAUAAUUUAACAUUUUCAAAAAAAAAAAAUUGGGGUAGCACCUGGUCACCCUAAAAAAAGGUGGGAAAAUCUCAAGUUUAAAUAUCGAAGACAGAUUAUUUUUACACAUACAUAUGUCUAUUACGUUACAAAUAGUUGCUUUGAUGAAUGAAAAAUAUUUUCUAAGAUUUUUUUUUCUUUUUCAUAUAUUUUAGAUCUUUAAUUUCCCUUUUCCAUUUUGCUAGUUAGCCAAUUCACCCUAAAUUCAACAGAUACAACAACAUACUAUUACUAACUAUCCUAAGGAUGCAAGUAAAAGAGCUUUUACGCUAACUUCACCUGAUAGAUUCGGGGAUCAAGCCGAAAAACUUUUCUCAAUAAGCUAAAUAAGAACUCCUAUGCAAGACUGAAACAGUAACAAUUUGAAUUGAUUCAAAUCUAAGUACGUUGCUGUUACAUUUCUCUUAAAUGAUCCUUUUGGAGUUGAUACUAGUACAAUAUUUUAGUUAUGUAUGUUUUUUUGCAGGGCCGGAAACUAAACUUAAUUCUUUGACUGCAUUUUAGUUAUAUAUAUAUAUAUAUAUAUAUAUUUAGAAAGAGUAUACAUUUUUGUUCAUAAUUUUUAGAUUAUUUAUUGUUUGUUUCACUUUUUGUAUUUAUUUAUGUUUUCGUACAUGCAGUCCUAAACUGUUCAGGACCAAACUCAAGCCUAUAUCUUUCUUUUUUUGUUUUUGUUUUUUUUGUAACAAGCUCAAGCCUAUAUCUUAGACUAAACCUGGAUCAUAUAAGCUUUGCAGCCUUUGCUUAGUUGACAUCCAUACCUAGUUUAAUUUUCUUCUCAUCAGGAGUUAGUUUUAUUUAGAACCACAGAAAAAAACGAUAAAUAAUAUUUUUCUUACUUUGAGAAUCUAUCCAAAACUUUCGAAGUUUGAAUAAAUGUGCAAUAAGGCCAUAAUCACUGUUUUCGAAUAUGAAUGCAAACAUAAAUCAUUUUCUUUUCGUUAUACUCUAUUCAAACGACGUCCCAUAUAAUUUCGAAAUACUUAUUUCUUCGACCCAAAAAAGUCGUACACUGUAAUCGGAUUUUGUAUAGGUAGUUUUUAACUUAUUAUAUAAGAUUGACUAACGCAUAUAAAAUAUAUGAUUCUAUUACUAAGCAUAUACAAUUAAUUUGACUAGAACAAUUGUGGCGCUCUCUCAAGUCCCUCUAAACCCUAUAAAUACAAACACCCUGUCCUCAUUUAUCUUCACCUCUCUCCCUCAAAAGCCCUUUAAUAACCCUUAAGACACCGAUCUUAGCCUUCGAAAGACAAUGUUUUCACAGAAUACAGCCUCUCUUGCCCUCUUCUUUGCCCUCAACAUCCUCUUUUUCACCUUAACCGGUGCAACUGAUUGUGGCUGCAGCCCAAGUCCUAAGCCCAGGCCGGUCCCAAGUCAUUCGGUCCCAAGUCCUAACCCUAGGCCAGUCCCAAGUCCUUCGGUCCCAACUCCAAGCACACCUGGCUCAUCUGGAAACUGUCCUAUAGAUGCCCUCAGGCUCGGUGUAUGUACGAAUGUCUUAAGCCGUUCACUCAACGUUCAAUUGGGUCAACCGUCGCCUCAACCAUGCUGCUCGGUCAUACAAGGUUUGGUUGAUCUUGAGGCUGCGGUUUGUCUGUGCACUGCUCUUAGGGCUAACGUUCUCGGCAUCAACCUUAAUGUUCCUAUAUCUCUCAGUGUUCUUCUCAACGUUUGUGACAAGAACCUUCCAUCUGGUUUCGAGUGCGCUUGAACGAUAUCUGCUAUGUAUAAAAUGCGCACGCAAAAUUUCCUUUCCAAAAUCUUAUACUUUGAAUAAAUGCAUGUAUGCAUGCAACGUUAAAUGGUUGUUGUUUAAAUUUAUUGUUUAAGUAAGAGUUAUUUACACUUCUUCGUAAACGCUUUUCCAAGCAUGUAUGUUUUUGUUGUAACGUUUGCUUGUAGAAAGUUGGGUGAAAGAAUUUCCAGUCAUUUCAAAGAGUAUUCAUUUCUAUUAGUGGAUUGGAAUAUUUCAGGUGCUUUUAGGCCAAGUUCUCGGCAUCAACCUUAACGUUCCUAUAUUGUGUUGUUUCAUGGGAUUGUGCUCUGACCACUGCGUUUUUUCGAGCGUCCUCUUGGCAGAUGCAGUUUUUCAUAUAUAUUCAAACUAUUUCAAUAAUUCAAAUCCAUAACCUCGUUAUUAGUAUUUCCUACUUCUCAAUCGAUUUAGCCAAACUCAAAGAGUCAGUAUAGAUUUAAACUUUCCGAAACAUACCAAGGUUUUGAUCAUCAGAAUUAAAACUUGAUGGGAAAUAUUUUUUUUUGAAUAACUAAGAGAUUUUGGGUCUAGGCCCAUGCAUCUCCUCACACCCGAUACCAAAUCAUAUAUGGUUCCAUCCCAAAAGCCAUUUGAAUUAGGAUCUCUAAGUUUUGCCUGAAAUUUUUAUAGGAAAUAUUAACAGAGUUUGGAGAAGUUACUUUCAUAAACCUGGUUACCAACAAGAGAACAAUAUUUCAAUUUCAAGAAGUUUAUAUUUAGAUAUUCAAAUUGUUGGAUUUCAAAUAAUUUGAUUUCAAUAUUUUAGUUAAUGGUUUAAAAUUGAAUAAAAAAUUAUAUAUGUUGUAUUUCCAUAAUUACGUAUUAUUUGAGGUUAAAUUUAGAAAUUAUUUAUAUAACAAAUUUACAAAUUGUAUUGUUAAUACAAAAAAAUAUGGAAGAUAAAAAAAUAUUUUUUAUUAAUUACAAAAAAAUAUCCACAUAAAAUUUUAAACACCAAUUUUACUGGUCCAUAUUAGCGUUUAAAUUAAGAAAUUUUACAAAUUUAUAACUUGUAUUGUUAAAAGUGUAAAAUAACUGCUUAGCAUUAGUAGAUUUUUUUUUUUUUUUGGGUAUGAAAGCUUUAAACUUUAGUAGAUUUACAAGCGUAUUGGGAAAUGAUUCAUACGGGAUGUACUCCUAGUUUCUACUGCAAUAGAACAGUGAUAUAGUUGUAAUAUAAAGGAUUCGGAAUCCAGAGGACCAGUGUUACUCUAUGACUUUGCGAGGAUUGAAUUAAAGCUAAGACGAAUGAUGGUUUGUUGCGAAAACUAAAAAGUAAACAGAAUGGCAAGCAACGAUUUAAAUUCAAAUUAAAAGAAGCACUAGACCAAAGCAAUUCGCAGGAACUUCAGAGAUAAGAACCAGAUGACUAUUCAGGGCACAAGUGUAACGCAAGUCUCGAACUCAAACAGAGAAGCUUAUCGAUCCACUGUCGUGAUCUCGAUAACUUUGUCUAACAACCUAAAUCCUAAACUGUCGUUUGAACCUAGAAAAUUGCAGACAAGCAUUAGCUAGCAGGUUUGAUCUGUUCACGAUUUGCCUUAACUUCAACUGUCGUUGGCUAAGGACAAAUCGCUCACCAAUGUUUAUUCUAGCAACCUAUUACACUUUUGAUGAAUAUAUUAACCUAAAAUCGUAGAUUGAGUGAUCAGUUCAACCUAAGCAUUAAGUCUAACAAUGGUGAAGACAAUAGAUAUCAAGCCCUAUUUGCAUCUAAUUUUUUAACUCAUGAAAUCUUUUGAACGCUUUAAUCUAGCUAAGAGAUCUACUCAGACAUGGAGAAAAGAAACACAGAAACAGAUGGAAAGGAAUUCAUGAAUUAAAAUCGCAGAAGAGAUAAUAGGGUUCAGAAUUCUUCUCAAAGUGUAGCAGAUUUCUUCUCCCAAAAGCUUACAAGUAAAAAAACUCUAUGGUUCAGGAAAUUGUAAAAAGAAAGCAUAGAAAGUCUGUAGAAAAACGUCCUAAUAAAACACAGACGGCUGUGGACUUUUUAUUCUCUUUCUCCUCCUAAAAUUAGGUAAAAGUCGAUUCCUUAUUUUUCUCCCAUCUGGNNNNNNNNNNNNNNNNNNNNNNNNNNNNNNNNNNNNNNNNNNNNNNNNNNNNNNNNNNNNNNNNNNNNNNNNNNNNNNNNNNNNNNNNNNNNNNNNNNNNNNNNNNNNNNNNNNNNNNNNNNNNACCGUGAGCAUGUGCUCCGCGGAUGAUUUCUCCAAAAGCGAAUGAAUAGCUCCUUAUUGUUCAAAUUCAUCUCUUUUUGCUCCAAUGCCUCCUAAACACUCCAAUCCUCUGAUAAGGCCUCUAAGUCACCUGAAACUUCCUGAAAAAAACUCCAAAAACUCCUAAAAAAAUUAGUAAACACAGGUUAGAAUGAGUCAAAGUCUCCACUCAUCAACUCCCCCGAACUUGGAUCCUUGUUUGUCCUCAAACAAACUCAAAUUCAACUCCAAAAGAAUGACUGGAUAGAGCUGGGAACUCGCAAAACUCAAACGACCGUAAACCUGACCAAGGCAUGUGUCAAUCUGCUGCAAAAUCAAUCAAAAAUCUAACCUCCAUGUACUUCUCCGUAGACGCUGCAGCUUUCCAGAUUAGUCCCUCAAUUUCAUAACAUCAUCCAUGUCCCAUCAUUGCUGAGUCUCAUCGAUAAAACCAGUGCUAAGGACCUUCUAGACUCGUUCCCAUACUUAUACCUUAACAAAUUGACCAUACUACACAAAAGUACCUUUCCUCUCCCCCGAACUUAUUCACUUUUCAAGCUGUUUCGUUUUUUUUUUUCCGGCACAUAUAAAAAGGUUCAAAGACGCGAGUAUUGAUGGUGAUUGCCACCGAAUCCCCGGUUUGUCCCCUCAUUAUAUAUCAAAAGUGUAGGCGAAUAAUGGGGUCACAGGAAAUUUUCCUACCCCUCGCUUCCAUCCCUUGUGUGAUCAUUCCACUUUAGAAGUAAAAUAAUGGGAUCAUUGGAAAUUUUCCUAGCCCUUUACUUCUAAAAGAAAAUCAUUUCAAUCUUUUCUGCCUUUUUUUUUUUUUUGAAACAGUCUGAAACAAUGCUUAGAACAUGAGAGAGGAAUACCAAAUCUAUCACACAGGUCUUUAUUUGUCAGGUAAGAAUGAGGAGUCAAGUCCUAUGAGCACUAACCUGAUCGAUGAGGAAAAUGAAGAGCUGAGAAUUAGCUCAGGUUCAAUGGAUUAGUCAAGAAUUUUGGGCUCCUCUAGUCUACUGCUUGUCUUUGGAUUUUCCAUUAGUCGAUCUAGAUGAUUCUGCAGCAAUAAUCACUAGAAGAAGAUGGUCAAGAUUCACAAAUGGUCUGAAAUCAUCAUAGAAUUGGUCCUAAAUUCCACAAGCUUUGACUUUGACUCAUAUAACCAACUGACUCAAAGAAACUAAAUGACUCAAACAAACAAACUAAAAACUGACUCAAAGAAAGUACUAAAAGGAAGAAAGCAAAAGAAAUAAGUACAAGGGACACGACCCUCCCCCGGACUUACUUCACACCGUCCCCGGUGUAAAAAUAAGCUAGAGAAGUGUCCAAAAAACUUACCUGGUUCGCACAUGUAGAGCACCCUGGCGGAGCAGGUGCUCCGGAACAGAGCUGGGUGCUCCCUCGUCUUUUGUUCGUCUGGAGCAGGUGCCGGAGCAGGUGCUCCGGUUUCCCUUGGGUUGCUCCUUCGUCACUUUUUACGUGGUGAGCACCCUGUGGAGCAGGUGCUCCGACUGGGGAAGGGGUGCUCUUUCGUCAGUUUUUACGCUUUGAGCAACCAACCCAGCAGAUGGAGCAGGUGCUCCGGUUGGGUGCUCUUCCUUCAUCUUCCUCACAUCUUCUCUUCCACGUUGAACAACUUCUUACCUGUUUUUUUUUUUUUUGAAAACAAAGAACCUAAAAACAAAGUUAGUAGCUAAGAAUUGAAAGACACAAAGUUAGAGACUCUUACCGGUGGGUUGCCUCCCACCAAGCGCUUGUUUUAAGUCAUUAGCUUGACUUGGAAAGCCAUUUAGGCUUGAGGAGGAUCGCUUAAAGUGACUGAUUCACCCUCUGCGAUAUUUGGACCAGCAAGAUAUGGUUUCUACCUCUGUCCAUUGACAACAAACUCGCCUCCUUUAGUGUCCAGCAACACUACAGCUCCAUAUGGUCGAACCUCCUUGAUGGUGAAUGGUCCAGACCAUCUCGAUCUCAGCUUCCCUGGAAACAAUUUCAAUCUAGAGUUAAAGAGCAAUACCUGAUCGUUUGGUGCAAAGCUUCUGUUGAGGAUCCUCUUGUCAUGAAAAGCUUUUGUCCUCUCUUUGUAAAUCUUCGAGUUUUCAUAGGCCAGAUGCCUAAUUUCCUCCAGCUCAUGUAACUGCAUUACUCUCCUCUCCUGAACACUCUUUGCAUCGAAAUUCAGCAGCUUCACUGCCCAAGCAGCUUUGUACUCAAGUUCCACUGGAAGAUGACAUGCUUUUCCAUACACCAAGUGGAAUGGUGUAGUCCCCAAAGGUGUUUUGUAAGCUGUUUUGCGCAAAGAGCAUCAUCAAGCUUCACUGCCCAAUCCUUCCUUGUGGUGCUCACAGUCUUCUGCAGAAUGUUCUUGAUUUCCCUGUUGGAAACCUCAACUUGCACACUCGUCUGAGGAUGGUAUGGGGUCGCCACCUUAUGCCUUACACCAUUCUUCUUCAACAAGUUUUCAAAGACUUUGUUGAUGAAGUGAGAGCCUCCAUCGCUAAUCACCACUCGCGGCACACCAAACCUGGGAAAAAUGACAGAUUUGAACAUCUUUAAAACCACCUUUGCGUCAUUUGUGGGACUAGCCAGAGCUUCCACCCACUUUGACACAUAGUCAACUGCCACCAGAAUAUACUCAUUCCCAUAAGAUGAUGGAAAAGGUCCCAUGAAGUCUAUACCCCACACAUCGAAAAUCUCCACUUCCAAGAUGAAAUUCUGAGGCAUCUCAUUCCUCCUGCUAAUGUUUCCUUGUCUCUGACAUGUGUCACAUCUGGAGAUAAAACUCGCUGCAUCUCGGAACAUCGUUGGCCACCAAUACCCAGCUUGGAGAAUUUUCGACACAGUCUUGAAAGUGGCGAGGUGGCCUGCAUAAGAGGAUCCAUGGCAAUGAAACAACACUCCUGGUAUCUCCUCAUCAGCUACACAUCUUCUGAAGAUUCCAUCAGAGCAAUGCCUGUAUAAAUAAGGCUCAUCCCAAAAGUAGUGCCUCACAUCCUUCAGAAACUUCUUCUUUUUGUUUCCCACAAAACCUGCAGGUUUCUGCUCUGCAGCAAGGUAAUUUGCAAUCUCUCCAAACCAUGGGAAACCAAAAUGCCGAUCUAUGUCAACUUGGUUGCAAAAACUCGUCAGAGCAGGUGCUCUGGUGGGGAUCAGGUGCUCGUCGAACCCAGAACAUCUAUGGCGUAAACUUGUUCAUCAGGAAGGCUGUUUAGUGGAAUGUCAUCAUCUAUCUUCAGCCUCGACAAGUGGUCUGCAACACCAUUAUCAAUCCCUUUUUUGUCUUUAAUCUCCAAAUCAAACUCCUGCAGCAAAAGGAUCCAUCGAAGGAGCCUUGGCUUGGCAUCCUUCUUCGUCAACAGGUAUUUCAGAGCUGCAUGGUCUGUGUGAACAACAACUUUCGGCCCAACAAGGUAGGACCUGAACUUCUCAAAAGCAUAAACCACUGCAAGAAGCUCCUUUUCGGUUGCGGCAUAUCUGCACUGAGCUUCGUCGAGUGUUCGGCUGGCAUAAUAGAUGACAUGGAGCCUCUUUUCUUUCCUCUGUCUCAGCACUGCGCCCACUGCAUAAUCACUAGCAUCAGUCAUCACCUCAAAAGGAAGUUCCCAAUCUGGUGGCUGGACAAUAGGAGCGCUGACUAGAGCUCCUUUGAUAGCAUGAAAUGCCUCCAAACAUGCAUCAUCAAACUCGAAUUUCACAUCCUUGCACAGCAGCUGCGUCAGGGGUCUGGCAAUCUUCGAGAAAUCUUUGAUGAAGCGUCUGUAAAAACCUGCAUGGCCCAGAAAACUGUGAACCCCCUUGACUGAUGUUGGUGGCUGCAGACUCAUCAUCACCUCGAUCUUUGCCUUGUCCACCUCGAUCCCUUUCUCUGAGAUUUUGUGUCCCAGCACGAUCCCAUCUCUCACCAUGAAAUGGCAUUUCUCUAGUUAAGCACCAGAUGCUUCUCCUCACACCGCUGCAAGACCAUGCACAGAUUAGACAAACAGACAGAAAAGGAGCUUCCAUAGACAGAAAAAUCGUCCAUGAAAACUUCCAUUAUGUCUUCAAUCAGGUCAGUGAAAAUCGACAUCAUGCAGCGUUGGAAUGUUGCUGGAGCAUUACACAAGCCAAAUGGCAUUCUGCGAUAUGCAAAGGUGCCAUAAGGACAUGUGAAUGUCGUCUUCUCCUGGUCGUCCGGGUGGAUUGGGAUCUGAAAGAAACCUGAAUAACCAUCUAAGAAACAGUAGUAAGGAUGGUUAGCCAAGCGUUCAAGCAUCUGAUCGAUAAAUGGUAAAGGAAAAUGAUCUUUGCGAGUUGCAGCAUUCAAUUUCCUGUAAUCUAUGCACAUUCGAUGCCCAGUAACAGUUCUAGUUGGUAUCAAUUCAUUCCUAUCAUUUUUUAUCACAGUGAUGCCACCUUUCUUAGGAACUACAUGAACCGAACUAACCCAAUUACUAUCUGAAAUCGCAUAGAUCACACCAGCUUCUAGAAGUUUCAUUAUCUCUUUCUUUACAACAUCUUGUAGAUUCGGGUUUAACCUCCUCUGAUGUUCUACAGAAGUCAUUGAUUCAUCUUCUAGAUGUAUUCUAUGCAUGCAAAGAUCAGGAAAAAUCCCUGGAAUGUCAUCUAGUGAAUAUCAUAGAGCUUUCCUAUACUUUCUAAGUUCACAAAGAAGCAAGGCAAUCUCUACAUUGUUCAAUUCAGAGUUCACUAUCACAGGGUAUGUCGAAUUGGGUCCUAGAAACGCGUACCUGAGCCCCACAGGAAGGGGUUUGAGCUCAAGCUUCGGAGCUCUCAAUUCGCUCCAAGGCCCAUCAAUCAAGCCGUCGGGAGCAGGUGCUCCAGGAUUCGGAGCAGGUGCUCCGUCGGCUUUUUCUGCAGAUGAGCUCUCCUUGCUUUCUAAGCUCAUGUACGCCACCAGCCUUUGCAUCCUCGUGCUUGCAUUCAGCAUCUUUGCAAACCCAUCAGCUUCUUCACUCAAAUACCCAUGUUCUCCUUCGGCUUUGGUGAGUGCAACUUCCAGAGAAUCGAUGGCCAAAACCUCUUCAGCAACCUCUUCAGCAAUGCUUGAACCAUCAUCUAUGAUAAAUGUCUGUCCGUCCAGCAUUGGUUUCUUGAGGAGUUUAUUCAUCUCAAAUCGCACCACCAUAUCUCCCAGCUGGAGAUCUAUCACUCCUCCUUUCACAUCUAUGAUUGCACCAGCUGUGCAUAAGAAGGAUCGACCCAAUAUCAAAGGAUCCUUGGGUUCUUCAUCAACCUCCAGAACCACAAAAUCUGCUGGAAUAAGUGUAUCACCUAUCUGAACAUGCAGAUCCUCAAGUAUACCAACAGGGAAUUUGGUUGAUCUAUCAGCGAAUACCAGCGAGAUUUUCGUCGGUUUGAAUCUGGUGUAACCCAAUCGCUUGGCUAUAGAGUAAGGCAUCAGAUUCACACUUGAACCCAGAUCGCAGAGAGACCUUGCAAACAGCACAUUCCCAAUCCUGACUUAGAGAACAAACCUUCCUGAAUCACUUCUCUUCUUCAGCACUUUGUUCUGAAGCACAGCACUGCACUCCUUCGAAACCAUCAUGACACUCUCUUCCUCAACAGCUUUCCCAGACACUAACCCCUUCAUGUAUCUUUUUAGGGCUGGUAUCAUCUGAACAGCAUCAACUAGAGGGAGUUUUACAGUCAAAUCCUUCAGCAUCUCCCUGCACUUUGCCUCCUCUAAGUCCUUGCGAGACUUCUUUGGUGGAACUGGGUAAGGUACCUUAGGCGUGUAAACUCUUGCAGGAAUGUUUGCUGGAGCAGGUGGCUGGAGCAGGUGCUCCCUCGUUGGCUCAGGGUGCUCCAUCGUCACAUCUACGUCUGGAGCAGGUGCUCUCGAUUUUGGAGCAGGUGCUCUGAUGGGGAAAGAGUGUUCCUUCGUCUUUUUUACGUCAUGAGCUGGUUCCUCUUCUUGGAGCACGUGCUCCACGUCCUUUUCCUUCCUCACAGAGCUUGUUGGUGCAGCAUGUAGAGUCUUCCCACUUCUCAGCUCAAUAGCAUUCACAAACUCAUUCCUGGGGUUUUCAGGUGGCUGGAGCAGGUGCUCCCUCGUUGGCUCAGGGUGCUCCAUCGUCACAUCUACGUCUGGAGCAGGUGCUCUCGAUUUUGGAGCAGGUGCUCUGAUGGGGAAAGAGUGUUCCUUCGUCUUUUUUACGUCAUGAGCUGGUUCCUCUUCUUGGAGCACGUGCUCCACGUCCUUUUCCUUCCUCACAGAGCUUGUUGGUGCAGCAUGUAGAGUCUUCCCACUUCUCAGCUCAAUAGCAUUCACAAACUCAUUCCUGGGGUUUUCACCUUUUCCAGGGAGAGUUCCAGGUGAUCUCUUCACAGCUUCUGCAGUCUGAGCUACCUGAACAUCCAGCUUCUUCACAUGAGUCCACACUGCUUCAUACUUGCCAUUCAAAUCAUUGUACAUGGUGUCCACUUUGGCAUUAAUCUCCAUGGAAGACUUUUGCUGAUUAACCAGCAGCUGUUGCAUCAAGUUUUUCAGCUCAUCUUGCGAGUUAUUUGAGGAACUCGAAGAAGGCUGCAGACUUGUGAAAGGCAACUUCUGCUGAUUUCCACCUUGAAACCGAUUCUGAUUGGUGAUGAACUGCUUUCCUUGGAAGUUGCUGGAGAAGUUCUUCUGAAAUCCUGACUGAUUCUGCACUCCUUGCUGCAGAUAGACCUGAUCCUGAGGGUUCUCAACAUUGUUGCUUCUGUAGGAUAAAUUCGGGUGGCUUCUGAAGUUGUUGAAGCUGCGAUUCUGCACAUACCCUUGUCCAUUCACGAAAUUUACCUCCAUCUGAUCAUUAUUCUCUGCAUCUACAAACUCUUGAGAAAGAAGUGCAUCACCAACCUCAUCAGCAAAAUGCACAGAUCUCUGGUUCUCUCUCAACAGCAGAUUCACCUUUGCUGUAAGCUCAUCGAUCUUGCUCAACUCCACACUAUGAACUGCUUUGCUAGACCUGUCAUACUCUUGGGAUUUGUUGCUGGAGCUUGCAGCUAAGUUCUCAAUCAACUCAUAAGCAGCUUCUUUGGACUUAGUCAUGAAAUCGCCAUUGCUAGCUGCAUUCAAAGCAUUCCUGUAAUCCCAGUUGACACCAUCAUAAAAGGUUGACAGAAUCUGCUCAUCAGAGAACUGAUGGUGAGGGCACUCUCUUCGGUACUCCUUGUACCUCUCCCAAGCUUCGCAGAAGGCUUCACCAGGUUGCUGUUUAAACGAUGAGAUCUUGUUCUUCAGAGCUGCAGUUUUGGCCUUAGUGUAUAAAUGGUCCAAAAAUGCUGAUCUGCACUCUUCCCAUGUAGUCAAUGACCCAGGUGGUAAUGACUUCAGCCAGCGCAAAGCUUUGUCCGCAAGUGAGAAUGGAAAAAGCUUGCACUUCAAGAAAUCGGCUGGUAUCCCAUUUGAUCCAGUCGCGCUGCAAAUCUCCUCAAAAUUCUCGAUGUGGUCCAUCGGAAUCUCAGCAGGAAGCCCAUGAAAGAGAUGCUGCUUCACCAAUGAGAUCAGCUGAGGUUUGAUCUCAAAGUCUUGCCUCUGAAUGGUUGGAGGAGCAAUCGCAGCCCUGUUGUGAUAGUAAGCAUGCAGACUGUCCUUGUCUCCAAUAGCAGGUUGUGGCUGCUCCCUGUCUUGCUGCGCCUUUUGCAGCUGCUCCAAUUGCUGUCGAAGCUGUUUUAGCUCGACAGCCAUGUUUUCAUUGUUGCCUUGAUCGCCCAUGUUGGCUUGAAUAGGCCUUUGACGUCUGUUUUCUCGCUCGACUCUUGCUAGCUCGGUGUUCGACAAAGAAACAAGAUCGGUGCAGUUGCUCCUUGUGGAUAUGUUUGACAUACACCUGAAACACACGCAAACAAGAGAACAAGAGAGAAAAAUUAGUAAAGCCUUAGUCUGAAUUUCAAACCAAAAAUCAAAGGUAACGAAUUGGUCUCCGUCGCAACGGCGCCAAAAUUUGAUUCACACUGGAUGUACUCCUAGUUUCUACUGCAAUAGAACAGUGAUGUAGUUGUAAUAUAAAGGAUUCGGAAUCCAGAGGACCAGUGUUACUCUAUGACUUUGCGAGGAUUGAAUUAAAGCUAAGACGAAAGAUGGUUUGUUGCGAAAACUAAAAAGUAAACAGAAUGGCAAGCAACGAUUUAAAUUCAAAUUAAAACAAGCACUAGACCAAAGCAAUUCGCAGGAAUUUCAGAGAUAAGAACCAGAUGACUAUUCAGGACACAAGUGUAAUGCAAGUCUCGAACUCAAACAGAAAAGCUUAUCGAUCCACUGUCGUGAUCUCGAUAACUUUGUCUAACAACCUAAAUCCUAAACUGUCGUUUGAACCUAGAAAAUUGCAGACAAGCAUUAGCUAGCAGGUUUGAUCUGUUCACGAUUUGCCUUAACUUCAACUGUCGUUGGCUAAGGACAAAUCGCUCACCAAUGUUUAUUCUAGCAACCUAUUACACUUUUGAUGAAUAUAUUAACCUAAAAUCGUAGAUUGAGUGAUCAGUUCAACCUAAGCAUUAAGUCUAACAAUGGUGAAGACAAUAGAUAUCAAGCCUUAUUUGCAUCUAAUUUUUUAACUCAUGAAAUCUUUUGAACGCUUUAAUCUAGCUAAGAGAUCUACUCAGACAUGGAGAAAAGAAACACAGAAACAGAUGGAAAGGAAUUCAUGAAUUAAAAUCGCAGAAGAGAUAAUAGGGUUCAGAAUUCUUCUCAAAGUGUAGCAGAUUUCUUCUCCCAAAAGCUUACAAGUAAAAAAACUCUAUGGUUCAGGAAAUUGUAAAAAGAAAGCAUAGAAAGUCUGUAGAAAAACGUCCUAAUAAAACACAGGCGGUUGUGGACUUUUUAUUCUCUUUCUCCUCCUAAAAUUAGGUAAAAGUCGAUUUCCUUAUUUUUCUCCCAUCUGGAGCAGGUGCUCCACGAAGGGUCCAAACCGGGAGCAGGUGCUCCGCGGAUGAUUCCUCCAAAAGCGAAUGAAAUAGCUCCUUAUUGUUCAAAUUCAUCUCUUUUUGCUCCAAUGCCUCCUAAACACUCCAAUCCUUUGAUAAGGCCUCUAAGUCACCUGAAACUUCCUGAAAAAACUCCAAAAACUCCUAAAACAAUUAGUAAACACAGGUUAAAAUGAGUCAAAAUCUCCACUCAUCAAGAAACCUUUCAAACAUAUUUCAUGCUUCGAGGUGACUAUGAGCCUAAGGUUUAACAAUGGUUACCAAUGAAACUAAUUUUGUAUCAUUUAGCAUAAUUUAUAAUAUAAUUAUAUAUAUAUAUAUAUAUAACUUGUUACAUACCAAUGUGAUGAGGCUGUUAAUACUUUAAACCGCCCAUAUGUAAUCUUUAUUGUUCUUCGUUUCUCUUCAAGAAGUUACAAUGUUACCCUGUAACUGAAUUCAUAUAUAUAUAUAUAUAUAUAUAUAUAUCCUAUCAUUUCUAAAAAAUAUUAUAUAUAUUUUUUUUUAACUUGUUUAAAUUUGUUUACAAAUUGUGUUAAGUUUUUUGUUUUCAACUCAAACCAAUUAACAACGAGUAGAUUUGUUCAAGUCUUUAUAUAUUAGUGUUAGUCAUUUUAAACUUUAGGAUUCUAACACGCUUCAUCAAAAUGAUGGGUCUUAUCGACUUAUUUCGAACCAAAUUCCAUUUUAGAACCGGUAAUAAAUCUUUCUUGGAUAAAUUUUCUUGGAUCAACAAAGAAGGCUCUUACAUUUCAAUGCAAAACCAAUUGGCAUUUAAUAGAUUGGAUAAAAUCUCUUAUAUAUUAGUGUUAAUCUCUUUAAAUUUCAAAUGUGUGAUUCUAACAAGUUGUAGUUAGAUAUAAAAAUAUAAUUUGUAUUUUGGCAAUUUUCGUUUUCGGGUAAAAAGAUCUGAUGAGAUUAUUCGAUAUCAAUAGCUCAAUCGGUGUAAGUCCGACAAUGAUGAGGGACUUAUUUAACUUGCUCGACUCCUUGACCCCGUAGAGAUUAGAACUCGGUAUAAACUUCUUGGCUAGAAAGAAAAAAAAAAUCAAUGCAAAAACUAUAAUUAGAUAAAUAAGUAAUUUGUACAAUAAAUAAUAAAAGGCAGACGACUUCCAGCAAACUUUUUACUGGAUUAUAUUGUACUACUAAGGUUGACAAAAAAAGACGCAAAGCUUGUCCUAUCAAGGAUGUUAACGUUGCAUACUUGCCUAUCCAGUACGUUUCCUACUAGUGAUUUUUUUCGUUGUUAAAGGUUUCCUAAAAGUUUAACGAGAUUUUAUCUCUACAUAAAAUAAUAAGGUUCAAGUUUCUGAGGAGUACAAUGUAUAAAAGUGUCCUGCUUCCCCGAAUCGGUCAUUAUAGAUUUGAUAUGAUAAAAAUUUCAAUUAGGAACGGUGUAAGGUACGAUUAUUAUUAUUAUUUUUUUUUAUGAUGAUAACGUUGCCUAUGCUUUGAUUGUUUUGUUAUUCAACAAAUUCACCCUUUGUAAUUUCGGUUGGUUUCGGUCGAUUUCCCAACCGAGAUUUUGGACGUUUAAGUUAUUUUUUUAGUAUAUUUUGGUAUGUUUCAUAAAUUUUAAGUUGUAGUCGGUUUAAAACAAACGGUAAAUUGUUAUAUACUGGAAUCAAUAGGAAGAAAAAAAAUUGAAUGAGACAAGUUAACGUCCAAAGAUAUUGUUUUGAGAUAUUUCUACACAGCUUGUAGUUUUUUUUUUUUUUUUUAUGUUGGUCUAUGAUAUCAUUUCCAUUAGGAAAUAUAAGUUUGUACCCAAAAAUGAUUUAUCCGGAUGUAACAUAUACAAUACUCCGCAACGUAUAUUUCCUAAAACGCUUUUAAUGUCCCUUUUAAUCUAUUUGAUAAUAAGGGUAUAUUAUUUGAAACUUUUCACAUAGAACAUUUUUAGUGGCUGGGAUUUUAUCUAAACUUCAAAAGGUUCCGAAAUCUGAAGUAAAAUGACUACGAGCCAAAUACUCAUAAUAAAUGUGCAAUAAUACCGACAACUUGACAGUAAUACUAUCUAAUACUCCAAAUAAUUUAAGGGACCGAUGAAUGAAGAAAUCCAGCAUUUUUUAGUUAUAUAAAAAUUUUAAAAAUCGACUUUCCAAAUGAUUUCAGUUUUCGGUUCUAAAUAUCUACACAAAGGGAAAAAAUAAACGAGAUUGUAUAUGUGGAAUCGUAGAUAAACGCAGAUAAAAGGUCAGAUAUUUUUGUAGAAUGACAGAACUAUAUAUAUAUAUAUAUAGUUAAUUAUACUUAAACAAGGUUUUUCACAUCCUUAUUAAACCCUAUAAAUACUCACACCUUCCCUUCAUUUCUAUUCAUCUCUCUCUCUCAAACACAGUCAAUACUCGUUAUAAACCUGAAUCUGUCCUUUGAAAAAAGAAUGUCUUCAAAGAACUCAGCCUCCCUUGCUCUUUUCUUUGCACUGAACAUCCUAUUUUUCACCUUAACCACUGCAACUGAUUGUGGCUGCAACCCAAGUCCUAAGCCGAAGCCGAGCCCAAGUCCUAUGCCUAAGCCCCCUAAGCAUGUCCCAAGUCCGAACCCUAUGCCUGUCCCACCUCCUAGCACCCCUGGCUCAUCUGAAAACUGUCCUAUAGAUGUCCUCAAGCUCGGUGUAUGUGCAAAUGUCCUAAGCGGCUUACUAAACAUACAGUUGGGUCAGCCAUCAACUCAAGAAUGCUGCUCGCUUGUCCAAGGUUUGGUUGACCUCGAGGCCGCAGUUUGUCUCUGCACUGCUCUUAGGGCUAACGUUCUUGGAAUCAACCUUAACGUUCCUAUAUCUCUCAGCGUUCUUCUCAACAAGUGUAACAAGAAGGUUCCAUCUGGUUUCGAAUGCACUUGAUUCAGUUUCCUCUUCAAAAUAUUUACUGUUUGAAUAAAUGCAUGCAAGCUAGAGAGUUUAAUGUUUAAAUGUUAUUUGUUUGUGAUAUAAUAAAUGUGUGAGAGUUUUGUAGUUUUUUUUUUUUUUUGCUGGUAAACGUUCCCCGUGGUGGUUGUAUGUUUUUGUAGCUAUCUAUUUCUAUUUUCACUCUGUAUAAUGCAUAUAUUAUUUAAUCAAUGUCUUAUUUUCAAGUACUCAUUUGGAUGGCUAUUACACAAUAUUGACAAAAUUCAUAUCAUAGAAUGCUUUUACUCUUUGGAGAGUUGAUUUCUACUGGAAAAAUUUUGAUCACUAUGAUAUUCGGCAACACAAUAUAAAUCUCGUUUAUAAAAACAAUCCUUAUUAGAUUGUGAUUAGUACUCAUCCUAAAAUCGUAUUGAAAAAUUAAACAAAGAUUAGUCCUUUCUCCAGAAUUGUGGUGUAGUUGAACAUUAUAGUUAUAUAUUGAUGUAGCGCCUCUGAUACCAAAUGUUGGAGUGAGAACUUUAAAAAGAUAGAAUAGUAAUCCGUUAAUUCUGAAAAUAUCCAAAAAAUAUGAUAAUUGCAAAAUUAUUUGUUUAGUCUAAGAAUCUCCGAAUAAAUCAAAUCUUUUAAGAUUCGUUGAAAUAUUUUUAGAUCUACCAAAAACAAGGAACAAAAAGACGAAAACUCAAUUCUAUUAAUUAAUCAAAAACUGAAUACAAGGUCUAAACGACUUAUUUAUACUAAAUUCAAAACACUAGAAAACUCUAAAACAAUAAAAGAAAAUUAUCUAAAUAAUUAAAGAUAUAAUUAAGAUAUUUGAGAUAUUUUCAAAUAUCUUUCUGCAACAUAUAUUCAGCUGAGAAUGAACAGUUCGGUAAUCACUUAUCAAUAAAGUCCGAUAAUUAGUUAAGACAUGUACAUUUUAAUCUUGUUUGUCCAAAGAAUUGCGGUUAAGGUUCAAUGAUGUAUAUGUGCUUUCAUUAUCUAUGACCGAGAGAUCUCGGCCGAGAAUAUAUGUGGUCAACUGGUCAUGAGUCUUUGAGGCCUUAACCGAAUUUUUUUUGUAGUUUGUACCAGAGUCAAUUAAGGUUAUGACUGAGAAGCAUUAUUUCUUGGCCGAAUGAAUGAUAACUUGUUUUUAAUUUUUUAUUGUUAAUUAUACGUAUAUAUCUCAUGAUUAGAAUUUUUAAGAAAACGUUAUUGUGUGUUUUUUUUUCAACAAUAUGCAUUAUAAUGAAUUUGAAUUAAUGGGAUGACGCAGUGAUAAAACGAACAGAAACCACUACAUUAUAUGUAAUGGCCAAUGCUUUAUUUUUAUAUUCAUAAAAAUGAAAAGUUCAUGUUCGGGUAGUAUGCCUCGUGUUGAUGUGAUUGAUUGUAAGUUUCAUUAAGCUCAAUGCCAGAAGUAAGUUGACGUAUGUGGGGAAACUAGAAAUUUGGAGCCAGUUUCGCUAAGAUAUUUACGAAUAUAGUCGCGAUUUGAAAAUAAUGAGUCAAAGAGAUCAAAGAUGGUUAACACUUCGUAUGUACUAAUAUAAUCUUGGGGUUUCAAUAGUUGAAUAUGUAAAUCGAAUAACAUAUACAGUAUAUAUAAUGCUUAGAAAGAUUAUGAUAAACAUGUCAAAAAUAGGACCUAAGAAUUUUGUGUUUUAUCUCAAUUUUUCUUAAUUAUUUAGUACUAUCUGCAAUAAACAAAAUAUAAUCAAAUUAAUAAAUAAUUUUAAAAUAUGAGUUCUCUAAUAGCUAAGUUUUAAAUAAAUGAAAACUACAAAACUGUUGACAGAAAAACAAUACAAAGCAACAUUAGUAACAUAGCUAUUAUGUAGGAAGGCCAUAUAUAACUAUAUACACAUUAAACAUAAAAGAACAUGCUAUUUAAAACUAUUUCGAAGACCAUACUUACCACCUUGGUGGAAAGAUAACUAUCUGAUAUAUCUGGAAUGAAAAUGAAAAUGAAGUUUACCCAUACGUGUGAGAUAAUUAAGGUAAAAAACUGGGAAAAAGAAGUAUCAAAUAGCUGCCCAAAAAGAAAAAAAUUAAAAUCUUUCAUACCCACUUGCUAAUUUUUCUUGAUCUUAGUUUCUCGUGACGAAAGUUCAAAAUAACAUUUCUUUUUUUUUUAACGUUUUUAACUAUCUUGUGGUCCUAGUUUCUUUGUAAAACAUAUUUCUUUGAGGGAAAAUAGUUUUAUUGACUUUAUGAAAGAGUAAACCAUUUGGACCCCAGAGCUUAAUUCAUACGAUAUGUCCAAAUAUUUAAACCUAUUGAGAUAUUUACGUAAAGCAUUGUAGAAGAAAACAAAAUUAUGGUCGACAAUGUCUACAUAGAAUGACGAAUUAACAGAAGACGAUCAUUAACCAUCAACGAGAUAUGGACUAGUAAGCUUGAGAUGUCCAAUUACUUGUUUUGGCCGAAGACAAACACGUCAUUUUGAAUUUAUUGUAAAAUAUGUAUCUAAGUUAUCUAAAUAUAUGAGUAUCAAAGAUAUGUAUCUAAAUAAGGAUUGGACUCCGAGUUCGUAAUAUUUUGACUUUAUUGUAAAAUAGAGACACAAGUUGAUAUAACCAGAAUGCGAGACACGAGAUGAUGUGUGGUUUACAAUUUUAUAAACACUUUUAAAAAAAAAUGAAUGUAACAUUAAUUCAAAUCCAAAAAAAUCGUUCUACAAAUGAAUGUGUCCUUUUGUUCGAAGAAAGAGAAAUAUUUUUACAUUAAUAUUGUCAUUAGGAUCUUAGGAUGGCCGAAAACCAAACUAUAUAACUAUUUCCUCAUCGUAUGUGGUAUUACCUGCAUUCUGAAUAGAUCAGAUAAGGUUCUCAGUUCUCACAUUCUUAUUUUUAGAAACAUCUUAUUUUUUAUAUGAAUCACUUAAUAAUUUUUUGAAUUAUAACCAGGUUUACUUUUUUUGUCAACUUUGAUAUUUAAUUUUGAAUUAAACAAAAGAUUUAGUAAACCAAACUGGAGUAGCAAAAUUUACAUAUAAAAAGUAGCAUUAUAAGUCAAACAAUAAACAUUACCAUUUAUAUUGCGUGAUAUAUAGAAGUAUAAAUGCCAAUUUAGAGAAUUACGAUUUAUUAAAUUCUAAGAUCAAUUAUCUGGUCAAUAGUGUUCGUAUGCUAGAACUCUGAAUUAUGAAUUCCGAAUAUGCUUGGCUUGGCUUGGCUUGCCAAUGCCAAUCCGAGUUAUUUAUUUUUUUAAAUUAAAGUUGACAAAAAAUUGAAAAAACGAACCUAUCCAAACCAAAUAAUUGACUUGAUGAUAGUUGGUCUAACCAGACCAGGUUGUUGUUUUUUUUAAACACGGAAAUUAUAUCCUGACCAUAAAUUGUCAUAUCCUGGAACAUUGUCCGGUCCGAUGGACUUCACCAAACAUUUCAAAGCAAAUUUUUGACCAUGUGAAUUUGUAAUGGACUAAUUACAAAAGAUCACAAAAAAUAUUUUUCCAAAUGUUGGAACUACUCUGCACGUCUCUCAGUGACAUUUAUAGUGAGUUUCAAUAAAACCUAAGGAUCCUCUUGAAAAUAUAACAAAACUCAUUACAAAAAAAAAAGAAUAUAUCAUCUUCCAUAUGCCUAUAUCUCCGAAGUGUCUGAUAAACAGAAAACUCAAAUCGAAAGAAGGCUUGUUCAUUGUCGAGAGAUGAUCUCUGGUGCAUGGGAGAAGCGCAGCCCAGGUUCUUCCAAAUGUAUCCCUAAUUUUAAGCUAAUGCACGAACCUGAUUUAAGUGAACAAAAAUCUAUCAUUUAUGUUCAGUUAUGAUUUUCGAAUUGUUCUACGUACGUUUUAGGUUUUUGACCCCAAGAAAAAAAAAGAAAAGAAUUUAUCAUAUAUAGAGGUAUCAACCAAAUUAGACACAUCUGUUUUGAGAAUUAAAAAAAAAACUAUGUAACAAUCUAGUUUGUAGUUUUAUGAAAUCUAAUUUGUAUUUUUUUGUCUUUUUUGUUUUUCAGUAAAAAUAUCUGAGGAGAUUAUUCGAUGCCAGUAACUCAACUGGUAUAACACUUGGUUACCCAAAAAAGAGUUGAGAAGAUCUCAGGUUAGAAAUGAGUGAUUAAUUUAACUUGAUCUACUCUUUCAACCCGGAGAGAUUAUAGAAGUAUAGAACUAAGGUCCAAGCUUCUUGGUUAAAAAGACAAAAAAAUUAAUCCAAAAAAUAUAAUUAGAUAAAUAAGUAAUCUGAAUAAUACAUAAUACAAGGGCAGAGGACUUCCAGCAAAUUUUGUACUAGAUUAUAUUGUCUGUCCUAUUAAGGAUGUUUACAAAAAAAAUACAAAGCGUGUCCUAUUUAGGAUGUUAACGUUGCCUAUCUAGUACGUUUCCUAAAAGUAGUACGUGGUAUCAGCUCUACUUAUGGAAAUACGGCUCAACUUUCUGCGGACGACAACGUAUAAAAGUGUCUGGCUUCUUGGAAUCGGUAGUUUUAGAUUUGAUGUGAUAAAGAUAUGUCAAUUAGGAACGGAUCCCAAUCAUGUUAAAUUUUCUGAUUUAGGGUAUGAUUGGUAACACUGCAGAAUUGCAGAAUUACAAAAAAUAAUCUUGCGGGAUAAAAUAAUCUCGUUCAAACUUGCUUUUUUGCAUAAUGAUUUUUUGUUUUUGUAUUUUUGUAAGUAAAAACACAAGAUUUUUUUUUAUUCUGCAGAUAUUUGUUGAUUGGCAAAAUAUUUGUAUAAUCAUGUUUAAGAACAUAAUUUUACUAUUUCACAGAUUACCAAUCAGAGUCUAAUGUUGAGAGAUCAACUGAUCUGUAAUGUUGGUUGGGCUCAAUCGGUCAAUUUUUAACCUAGAAUUUUGAAGUCUACGUGUUUUUUUGGUAUAUUUUUUUCUAUGUUUCAUGAAUUUUUAGUUGUACUCAGUUUAAUAACACUAAAAUGUUUUAUACAAAAAUCAAUAGGAAGAAAAGAGAAUUGCAUAUAUUUUUCACGACCUUUGUCGGUUACUUUUUGGUAAUUUUUUUUGUUUGGUUAUCUAGUGAAGGUGGUGAUAAUAACAUUAACGACAACUUGACAAUAAUACUGCAUAUAAUAUGAAUUAAGAAAUCAAACAUUCCUUUUAAUUAUAUAUAAAAAAAGACAUUCCAAAUUAUUUCGAGGUUCGGUUCUACGUAUCUACACAAAGAGAACAAAAAAAGGAUUCAGAGUUUGUAUAUGUAGAUAAACACAGAUAAAAGACCGGAUAUUUUGUUAGAAUGAAAAAAUAUAUAAUUAUUUAUACUACAACAAGUUGGUCCUCUUCACAUCCUUGUAAAACCCUAUAAAAUACCAACACCUUCCCUUCAUUUCUAUCCAUCUCUCUCUCGCUCAAACACAGUCAAUAAUCCUUACUAAACUGAAUCUAUCUUUUGAAAUAAGAUGGCUUCAAAGAACUCAGCCUCACUUGCUCUUUUCUUUGCACUCAACAUCCUCUUUUUCACCUUAACCGCUGCAACUGAUUGCUGCAGUCCUAAGCCGAAGCCCAAACCUAGUCCUAAGCCUAAGCCGGUCUCAUGUCCUCCGCCCCCCAAGCAUGUCCCAAGUCCAUCGGUCCCAAGUCCUAACCCUAGGCCUGUCCCACCUCCUAGCACCCCUGGCUCAUCCCAAAACUGUCCUAUAGAUGUCCUCAAGCUCGGUGUAUGUGCAAAUGUCCUAAGCGGCCUACUCAACAUACAGUUGGGUCAGCCAUCAACUCAAGAAUGCUGCUCGCUUGUCCAAGGUUUAGUUGACCUCGAGGCCGCUGUUUGUCUCUGCACUGCCCUUAGGGCUAACGUUCUCGGAAUCAACCUUAACGUUCCUAUAUCUCUCAGCGUUCUUCUCAACAAGUGUAACAAGAAGGUUCCAUCUGGUUUCGAAUGCACUUGAAUCAGCUAUGCACACGACGCCGCACACAG